CGACCCCAGCUCAGGCGUUAACACCCGUUGAGUUUAAGCAUAUAAUUAAGCGGAGGAAAAGAAACUUACAAGGUUUCCCCUAAUAACGACGAGCGAACCGGGAAGAGCCCAACAUGAAAAUCGGGUGGCAACAUCACCUGAAUUGUAGUCUGUAUAAGCGUCCUUAGCGGCGGAUUGGGCCCAAGUCCCCUGGAAGGGGGCGCCUGAGAGGGUGAAAGCCCCGUCGGGCCAGGACCCUACCGCACCAUGAGGGGUUGUCGAUGAGUUGGGUUGUUUGGGAAUGCAGCCCUAAUCGGGUGGUAAAUUUCGUCCAAGGCUAAAUACAGGCGAGAGACCGAUAAUGAACAAGUACCGCGAGGGAAAGAUGAAAAUGACUUUGAAAAUAGAGUUAAAGAGUGCUUGAAAUUGCUGAGAGGGAAGUAGAUGGAGGCCGACGAUGUGUCUCGGUCGGAUGAGGAAUGACUCAAGUUGGUCCGCCGCUCAAAUCAAGGUGAGAACCAUCACAUGCUGUUGCAUCGGCAUAAGCACGGGUGGAGUACUUCCUUUUGGUUUUCCAUUGUGGUGGUUGAGUAGCGGAGAAAUCAAGGGAUUCCACCAACACUCAUUUAAAUUUAUUUUUAAUCGCUUGCCAAUACUUCUUUUAGUUUGUUGAUAUUGAGCUCGCACAUGAGGUAGUUUA
rnacentral:ncRNA from 1 species